rnacentral:lncRNA from 1 species
AUUUGAUGAACCCCCUUACUCUCUAUGUAUGAGGCACCCUGAUUUAGCUCCAUAUGCAAGAGAAGCAACAGUAGUGGAUUGCUAAAGGCACUUCCUUUUCUUCACUAAUGAUAUAGUAAUUAUCAAUGAGCUGCCUUCCAACUAGAUCUUCAUCAUUUUAUGAUACCCUGAGAGAUCUAUAAACCCUUCGAGCAAACCUUAGAUUUAACAUGGAAAUAGUAUCAGUCUAGAGGAGGAAAGCAACAGCAUGUAAUAACAUCACACCUGCUGUCUGGCUUUGUCAAUCCACAACCUCUUUGAAUUUAUUUUUGAUUUUAAAAUAUGCACAUGGCAUUAUCCAACAAAAUGGAGAAGAUUUUAACCUUAGAACAGGCAUGCAUUAUAAGUGAACAUAUGUCCCCGUAAAUUUAAGAAUGUCUCUAAAUUUCUUUCUGGUGAGAUAUCAACCUUUUAGUGCCUUGGAGAUAAACGCAAUUCUCCAUAACUAAUUAUGACUUAUUUUCUCUUCAUCUAGUGAUGCAGGACAACCCUAGGCAACCUAAUAAUUGAUGUCACACAAAUUUGACAAACCCUAACACAAAUUUAUGCAAACUUAAAUGCUAUGGAUGUACAAAUCUGAAAUUAUGAUUACAUGCAACACUAAAUG